AUGCAUGUCUAAGUACACACUGUGGCACAGUGAAACCGCGAAUGGCUCAUUAAAUCAGUUAUGGUUUAUUAGAUCGUGCGUUCCUAUGUGGAUAACUGUGGUAAUUCUAGAGCUAAUACAUGCAACUGGCCCCGACUUUACGGAGGGGCGCUUUUAUUAGAUCAAAAUCAAUCAGACUUCGGUCUGUUAUUGUGAUGACUCUGGAUAACUUUAUGCCGACCGCAUGGCCUCGCGCCGGCGGCGUAUCUUUCAAAUGUCUGCCCUAUCAACUUUCGAUGGUAGGUGACAUGCCUACCAUGGUUGUAACGGGUAACGGAGAAUCAGGGUUCGAUUCCGGAGAGGGAGCCUGAGAAACGGCUACCACAUCCAAGGAAGGCAGCAGGCGCGCAAAUUACCCACUCCCGGCACGGGGAGGUAGUGACGAAAAAUAACAAUGCUGGGCUUCAAGUCCGGUAAUUGGAAUGAGUACACUUUAAAUCCUUUAACGAGGAUCUAGUGGAGGGCAAGUCUGGUGCCAGCAGCCGCGGUAAUUCCAGCUCCACGAGCAUGUACGUAAGUUGUUGCAGUUAAAAAGCUCGUAGUUGGAUCUCAGGCUUGUGGCCGGCGGUCCGCUCGAUACGGGUGUGUACUGCCGUGUCCGGCCUACGUCUGGUUAUAAAAGUCCGUAGUGCCCUUAACCGGGUGCUGCGGAAUGCCAGAAAGUUUACUCUGAAAAAAUUAGAGUGCUCAAAGCAAGCCGUUUGUGCUUGAAUACUGUUGCAUGGAAUAAUGGAAUAGGACCUCGGAUCUAUUUUGUUGGUUUUCGGAGUCGAGGUAAUGAUUAAGAGGGACAGACGGGGGCAUUCGUAUUGCGCCGUUAGAGGUGAAAUUCUUGGAUCGGCGCAAGACGAACAACUGCGAAAGCAUUUGCCAAGGAUGUUUUCAUUAAUCAAGAACGAAAGUCAGAGGUUCGAAGACGAUCAGAUACCGUCGUAGUUCUGACCAUAAACGAUGCCAACUGGCGAUCCGCCGUAGUCUGGCUUAAAGGACUCGGCGGGCAGCCUCCGGGAAACCUAAGUCUAUGGGUUCCGGGGGAAGUAUGGUUGCAAAGCUGAAACUUAAAGGAAUUGACGGAAGGGCACCACCAGGAGUGGAGCCUGCGGCUUAAUUUGACUCAACACGGGAAAACUCACCCGGCCAGGACACCGUUAGGAUUGACAGACUGAGAGCUCUUUCUUGAUUCGGUGGGUGGUGGUGCAUGGCCGUUCUUAGUUGGUGGAGCGAUUUGUCUGGUUAAUUCCGAUAACGAACGAGACUCUAGCCUGCUAAAUAGACGGGCGAUCCCGUUGUGGGUCGACCCGAUGUG
rnacentral:rRNA from 1 species